UGGUGCAUGGCCGUCGUCAGUUCGUACUGUAAAGCGUUCUGUUAAGUCAGAUAACGAACGAGACCCUCAUCUCUAUUUGCUACCCGUCUCUCCCGGAGGCGGCGCACUAUAGGGAGACCGCUGGUGUUAAACCAGAGGAAGGCGAGGGCAACGACAGGUCGGUAUGCCCCGAAUGUCCUGGGCUACACGCGCGCUACAAAGGACGGGACAAUGGGAAGCCAGGCCGAGAGGCCGAGCUAACCCGAAACCCGUUCAUAGUUCGGAUCGAGGGCUGUAACUCGCCCUCAUGAAGCUGGAUUAGGUAGUAAUCGCGUCUCAAAAAGGCGCGGUGAAUAUGCCCCUGCUCCUUGCACACACCGCCCGUCAAACCAUCUUAGUUGUGGGUGGGUGAGGCUACCUCUCAAUGGGGUAUUCGAGCCUGCCUUCGACGAGGAGGGUUAAGUCGUAACAAGGUAACC
rnacentral:rRNA from 1 species